rnacentral:rRNA from 1 species
GACGAACGCUGGCGGCGUGCCUAAUACAUGCGAGUAGAACGCUGAAGGAGGAGCUUGCUUCUCUGGAUGAGUUGCGAACGGGUGAGUAACGCGUAGGUAACCUGCCUGGUAGCGGGGGAUAACUAUUGGAAACGAUAGCUAAUACCGCAUAAUAGUAGAUGUUGCAUGACAUUUGCUUAAAAGGUGCAAUUGCAUCACUACCAGAUGGACCUGCGUUGUAUUAGCUAGUUGGUGGGGUAACGGCUCACCAAGGCGACGAUACAUAGCCGACCUGAGAGGGUGCUCGGCCACACUGGGACUGAGACCCGGCCCAGACUCCUACGGGAGGCAGCAGUAGGGAAUCUUCGGCAAUGGACGGAAGUCUGACCGAGCAACGCCGCGUGAGUGAAGAAGGUUUUCGGAUCGUAAAGCUCUGUUGUAAGAGAAGAACGAGUGUGAGAGUGGAAAGUUCACACUGUGACGGUAUCUUACCAGAAAGGGACGGCUAACUACGUG